rnacentral:rRNA from 1 species
CACGUAGGCACCAAGCGUUGUCCGGAUUUAUUGGGCGUAAAGAGCUCGUAGGCGGUUCAGUAAGUCGGGUGUGAAAACUCUGGGCUCAACCCAGAGACGCCACCCGAUACUGCUGUGACUUGAGUACGGUAGGGGAGUGGGGAAUUCCUGGUGUAGCGGUGAAAUGCGUAGAUAUCGGGAGGAACACCAGUGGCGAAGGCGGCUUUCUGGCCUGUUCUUGACGCUGAGGCGCGAAAGCCAGGGGAGCAAACGGG